AGGGGGCUAGCGUUGCUCGGAAUCACUGGGCGUAAAGCGCACGUAGGCGGAUUGUUAAGUCAGUGGUGAAAUCCUGGAGCUCAACUCCAGAACUGCCUUUGAUACUGGCGAUCUUGAGUCCGGGAGAGGUGAGUGGAACUGCGAGUGUAGAGGUGAAAUUCGUAGAUAUUCGCAAGAACACCAGUGGCGAAGGCGGCUCACUGGCCCGGUACUGACGCUGAGGUGCGAAAGCGUGGGGAGCAAACAGG
rnacentral:rRNA from 1 species